UACGUAGGUGGCAAGCGUUGUCCGGAAUUAUUGGGCGGAAAGCGCGCGCAGGCGGUUAUGUAAGUCUGAUGUUAAAGCCCGGGGCUCAACCUCGGUUCGCAUUGGAAACUGUGUAACUUGAGUGCAGAAGAGGAAAGUGGUAUUCCACGUGUAGCGGUGAAAUGCGUAGAUAUGUGGAGGAACACCAGUGGCGAAGGCGACUUUCUGGUCUGUAAAUGGCGCUGAGGCGCGAAAGCGUGGGGAGCAAACAGG
rnacentral:rRNA from 1 species